UCUUUCUUUUUAUGAAGCAAAGCAGUGUGAAAGAGGAAUCACUCGUCCCUUUGGAAGUGUAAUUUGUACAACUGAGCAGCGAAGCACUGUUUAUGUUAUGGAACCUCAAGGUCCUCAAGUCACACUCGUAGAAAAGGAUUUUAUGCCGACUGAAGAUGCCAACUUAAAUAGAAAUAAGGAAAACAUUUCAAACGACAAUGCAUUAAAGCAUAAAGCAGCGGAUGA